rnacentral:rRNA from 1 species
UAAGGGCGCACGGUGGAUGCCUUGGCACUAGAAGCCGAUGAAGGACGUUACUAACGACGAUAUGCUUUGGGGAGCUGUAAGUAAGCUUUGAUCCAGAGAUUUCCGAAUGGGGAAACCCAGCAUGAGUUAUGUCAUGUUAUCGAUAUGUGAAUACAUAGCAUAUCAGAAGGCACACCCGGAGAACUGAAACAUCUUAGUACCCGGAGGAAGAGAAAGAAAAUUCGAUUCCCUUAGUAGCGGCGAGCGAAACGGGAAGAGCCCAAACCAACAAGCUUGCUUGUUGGGGUUGUAGGACACUCUAUACGGAGUUACAAAGGACGACAUUAGACGAAUCAUCUGGAAAGAUGAAUCAAAGAAGGUAAUAAUCCUGUAGUCGAAAAUGUUGUCUCUCUUGAGUGGAUCCUGAGUACGACGGAGCACGUGAAAUUCCGUCGGAAUCUGGGAGGACCAUCUCCUAAGGCUAAAUACUCUCUAGUGACC